rnacentral:tRNA from 1 species
AUUGGGAUAGCUCAACUGGAUAGAGCGGUGGCCUCCUAAGCUGCAAGCGUGGGUUCGAGUCCCGCUCCCAAUACCA